GCAACUCGCCUACAUGAAGUCGGAAUUGCUAGUAAUGGCAGGUCAGCAUACUGCCGUGAAUACGUUCCCGGGCCUUGUACACACCGCCCGUCACACCAUGAGAGUUGGGAAUACCCGAAGCCUGUGAGCUAACUAUAUGAGGCAGCAGUCGAAGGUAGAAUCAAUGAUUGGGGUGAAGUCGUAACAAGGUAGC
rnacentral:rRNA from 1 species